rnacentral:lncRNA from 1 species
GUUUUUUUAAAGCAAAUAAUCUAUUUACAAGAUUGCUUUUUAAGCUUUUGUUGUUCUUGGUUUAAUUUAUCUAUCAAGUUAUUUAUCUUACAUCCCAAUCAUACUUUCCCCUCUCUGCUCUCUUUACAGUCCAUCCUUCUCAGAGAAGGGGAAGCCUCCCAAGGAUAUCAGCCCGCCCUGGAACUGGGGACCAAACCCAGGGCCUUGCUCUUCCUAGGUAAGCGCUCUACCACUGAGCUAAAUCCCCAACCCCUGAAGAGCUUCUUAUACAUCAGAUAUUUCUCUGUUGAGAAUUCCCUUGAGAAAACAUCCACUGGAGGAAGAAGACGGGUCACCAACAUAAAGACACAUAAAUCGAGAAGAGACAGGGCCUUACUUCCAGAGCCUUCACUCUGCUUUGUAGAGUAUCAUUAUUUCUGUAUACCUUUCUAGUGUGCAAUGCAUUGUGUGUGAGUGUGUGUGUGUGUG